CAAAGUGCUCCCGAGCUCCUGUGCCCCCAGCAGCAAUCCCAGCCCCGCUGACACCCAAGCUUGUCACCCGCUGGGUUUCUUGAGGUCUGAGGACCGUGGCUGAGGGUGCAUGGGCGCUGGGAUGGAGGGGGGAUGUCCUGUCCCAGUCUGUGCUUGUUAAAGAGGGCAAGGCUGCUUUUAUUCAAGCGGGGGGCUGCUAAAGCGAGAUGUUGGGUUAGGGGAGGCACAUCCGGCUCAACUCCAGAUAGAAGAAGUAGGAAUUGACAGCCCAGGCGUAGGGUCGGGAGUGGAGAGAAAAUUACUAAGAGGAAGGGUCAGGGGCAAGGCGGGUUCUAGCUGCAUAGACAGGAUUUUUGCUGAAAAGGCAGGCAGUGUGGUCACAGACCGAGGGUGGGAGUUGAGGACUUUGAUCAGGGACCAAGAGUAGACGAUUUUCACUAAACCGACUCAGCAGGAUUCUUGCUAAAUCGGCCGAAACCGGCCAAGGUCAGGGACUGGUCACAGGGAGGGCUCAGAGGAGCCUGACUCGAGUGUGGUCAAAGGAGAGAGUCUUUGUCAUCUUUUAAGAGGCGAGAGUGACAUAUUAGUGAGAAACGGUGAAGGGAUCAUGCUCAGGCCAGCAGCCCCGAGUUUGAGAUGAGGACAGGCUGGGUCCAGGAACGGCUGCAGGAAUAGGGGGCACCUGAGCCUGCAGAAAGCGGGGAGCCCAGCCGCCAGAGCAGGCACCCCCAGGCAGACCUCAGUGUGUCCUGCCCUGUGGGAGUGGCAAGGCCAGACCAAGCUGGAUGUGAACCAGUCCCAGAACACCGCCUAGAAUUUGGAUUGUAAUUUGUUAUCGAUGAUAUUGCUGCUUGGUCUCUCUCCUCUUCCUCCCCACCCCCACCCAAGAUGGAGUCUGGCUUUGUCCCCCAGGCUGGAGUGCGAUGGCAUGAUCUCGGCUCACUGCAACCUCCGCCUCCUGGGUUCAAACAAUUCUCCUGCCUCAGCCUCCCAAAUAGCGGGGAUUACUGGUGCGUGCCACCACACCCAGCUAAUUUUUGUAUUUUUGGUAGAGACGGGUUUCAUCAUGUUGGCCAGGCUAGUCUCAAACUCCUGACGUCGUGAUCCACCCACCUCGACCUCCCGAAAUGCUUUGGGAUUACAGGUGUGAGCCGCCGCGCCCGGCCUCUAUAGCAUGGCCAUCGUGGCUACAUCAGCCCCGGCUAAUAGAGAUUUUAGCACACUCAGAUUCUAUUGGCUAAUAAGAUUUAAUUAUAAUUCUGGGGUAUUUAACAAUGUCGUUAUACAGUCUUCACUGUUGCAAAUGGAGAAUGAAAUCGGGUGCAUGUGACACUAAUGUGACCUGUUCAUGCUCUGUCACUUAAACGGAGUUAAGUAACAUAGCCUUGGGCAGGAAGACUCCUUCCCCACUUCUUUCCAGGAGCUCCUUACUCGAUUCUGGGGAACAGAAAGGCUUUCAGCAGCCAAGGGGAGUGACAACAGCCAGACAUGAGACACCUCCUAGAGCCCUUUGGUGUUACCCUUUCCGGUCCAUCAGCCACAGUGUCCACCCCAGGUAGCUGGGUCCUGAGUUCACCGUCUCAGGACAUUUUUCGACCUGGUUUGUCUGAAUUAUUAUUAUUAUUGAUCAUUGAGACAGGGUCUCAGUCCAUCGCCAAGACUGGAGUGCAGUGGUGUGAUCCUGGCUCACUCAGCCUCCCAGGCUCAGGUGAUCCUCCCAGCUCAGCCUCCUGCGUAGCUGGGACCACAGGCAGGCACCACCAUGCCUGGCUAAAUUUUUUGUAUUUUUUGUAGAGACCAGCUCUCGCUAUGUUGUCCAGGUUGGUCUCAAACUGCUGCCUCAGCCUCCCAAGGUGCUGGGAUUACAGGCAUGAGGGACCAAGCUCAGCAAUCUGAAUUAUUUAUGCAGAAUUUUUUUUUCUCUAGCUGGAAGAGCUGUUUAUAUGCACGUUUCUUUGGGGGCAACUCUUCUCCAUUGUCACAGAUUUUUUUUUUCCAAGCCAUUCCUGGGGGAUUCCUGGGAGCCAUGUGGGAGAGGCGUGAGGAAGUGAGACCUUCACCCCGAGACAGGUCCUGACGCACCCUCUGGUGCCUCUACUCAAGUGAGAAGUUUGGCUGCUGUAACUGACUGGGAAGCUUAAAAUAACAGACAAUCAUCUCUCACAUUUAUGGGGACUGGGAAGUCCAAGACCAAGUUGCCAUCUGGGGAGGGCCUGUUCCUCACAGCGCCUUCCAGCUCAGGCCUCGUUUAUAAGGGCACUCAUCCCUUCCACGACAACGGGUCCUCAUGACUUACUCACCUCGGAAAGCCCCCACCCCCAAGACCAUCACAUUGUGGGUGAGGAUUUCAACAUGAGAAUUUGGGGGCUGCAAACAAUUACACCAUGGCAGAGCAUAAGGUGCCUUCCCCACGUGCUCGGGUUGACCCAACGUCUCACGCUAGCAGCUACGUGGAAUAGUUAUUUUUUCUGGAGAACUCGGGGACCCCUCUGAUGUCUUGGAGCACCCACACAGGCCGUUCACUGUGCACGCGGUGAGGCUGUCCUCUGGGGAGUUCUGCUGUUGUAUGGGUUCUGUCUGUGUCAAUGUCCCAGCGGGAACGCAGGGCACACUAGCGUCAUCCCCAGAGAGCUUGGUAAGGGGACUGUUUGCAGAGACAUAGGCAGAGCGCUGGAAAACUACCAAAAAAGUGCAGUGUUCUGGACCUAAUAAUAGCACAGCUAUUCUCACCCUGGUCUGAAGGCAGGAGGGGAGGAGCAGUUAAUGGAUUCUGGAAGUCGGGUUGCACAGAGUCACCUUGAAAGAUGCCAUGACCUUCACCGAGGGCCAGACAGAGACUAAGAUGACCCCAUAGGAGAAUAAGACCUAGACCUCAUCCUCCUGCCUCCUGCCUCCUGCCAGUCCCUGCCAGGGGUCGCCAAUGGCAAAACAGGACUGGAAGCCAGAGGCCUUGGAAGCCCAUGGAUGAAGUCCACAGGCCAGCCUCCCCGAGAGCAGCCUGGACGGUCCGCAGGAGACAUCUCCUGUCUUAGGCGUCCCACGCCGCGUGCUCCUGUUCAGCCCUGCCGAGGUGGAAGCUUGGAGUGGGUCACGGUGGAUGCAUUGACGCUGCAGACGUCAGCAAGUGCUACAAACCAGAGCUGGCCUUUAACUCAGACUGAUGGAGAAGGUGUUAAUAAUGCAGAUUAGACUUAAAAGUGUUGAAGCCAUUGCACUGUGAACAGCAAAAAAAUUGAAGAACUCUUCUGGCAUUUAAAAACAAUUACUCAGUUCAGCAGAGAAGUCACUGACAAACGAGAUCACACUGACUGCUUUGUCGUUUUGGUUUUGUCUUACUCAUUAAUGCAAAUAAGAACAUUCACUAGCAUCUGUGUUGGGCCUACCCUCCCUGGUCAAACACAGCUACAGUCUCCCUGCAGAUACGAGUUUUCCAGAAAUGAGCCGAUGUUUUCUGCGAGAAUCAGUUGGUCAUAUACAAUUUACAAAAAUGAGUACCGUAUACUAUAUUUGUGAACUGUACGCUGCAGAUGCCUUAUUUCACUGAAAUUUAUAAUACACUUAUCCAUGUA